rnacentral:sRNA from 1 species
CGGUUAAUAAAUGGGAGUGGUGCUUUC